ensembl:lncRNA
AUUACAAGCUGGGGAGAACUUUCUGGAAGCUGAUUCCAUAUUAGAUUGUUUAAUUGGGAAAUCAGUAGACUUCAUACUCUAGGUACUUCAACUUAUUUGUUUGUGCUUAAGUCUGGCCAACCAAAGCAUAAUCUGAAAGAGAAUUUUGCUGGUAAGAUGAACUUGUUUUCUCAGGUGUGCCAAACUUGAAAAGAAUAAGUAGAAAGGUAGAAAAUGAGUAAAGAGUAUCUUCCAAAAAGGUUGGACCUAUUUGUCUAAAAGUGGGACAAGGAAAACUUUUAUCUCACUUAACUUUUACUUUUGGGUGGCAUUUGAACAGGGCUUGUGUGUUUGGCAGCUCUUCUGUUGAGCCAUCUGUUUCAUAUUAUGCAUUUUCAGAAGGCACUUUGCAUCCAGGGAUACAGUUCCCCAGAACACAGGAGAUGUGAGUUGGAUUUGCAGUCUAGCUAUCUGUAAACAUGGAUAUGCAAUCGUAUGUGCAAAUAAAUUCUGUUCAUUUUGGAGAAAUCGAAGCAUUCACACAGCUGGAGAAACCUGAGAAAGGAUUUAAGUGGAGAGCCUGUUUCCCUCAUACUGUGCUCAGGCAGUGCAGAAUGAGAGAAAACCACCGAACGUCCCCAGCCAGCUUGCAGUUUUUGGCAUUUCCUUGUCCAGGUUCCAGUGAAACAGUACUUCCCUCCCAGCAGCACUGGGCAGCUCUGAUGCAUCAUAGACCACGGGCUUUUCACAGGAAACACUAAAACUAUGUAUUUGAGCAACAUGUAGGAGAAGAAAAUUUUGCUCGUGUGGUGCAAUGAUGGGAGUAGUGGUAAAUCUAGAACAAGCCAGCAGACUUAAGGGAAAAGCUUCAUUUCAUCAUAGUUACCUUAUUAGAGUAUUUUGUUUCCUUUCUACUGGUCUUCAUAUUAGCCAAAGGCACAGAAUGUUUGCAUUAUCAGCAAAGCUUGAGUCUUGUGGUGAUGAGGAUCACACUUAAGUGAUAUCAUUCGUAAUGAGUUGGCCAAAUGGUGGAUCUAUUGCGUUGUUUGGGCAGAUCUUACUCAUUGUGAUAUGCAUAAAGAUUCUCAUAAUGAUGUCAAAUUCAGUGAGGUGGUAGGAAAUAUUUAUUUCUGCUAAAAGAAGCAUAUGUUAUUAUUAUUGUUUGUGCACAAUUUGCACAUCUACAAAUCUAGUAAUCUUACUUUGUUGUGAUAUAUUUCAUCUUGUCAUAGAUCUUGAUAGUACAUUGCUUACUCAAGCUGUAUUACUGUUUAAAUUGGUCUCCAGAACAGUACAGGAAUCAACAAACAUUAUCUCAGCAAUGUUACAAAAUUGUGGUACCUAAAAGAAAUGAGAUAAAUUAAAAUUUUGCCAGCUUGGAUCUUGUUAGUAGAAUAAAUGCUUUUCUCAUAUGAACAAUUUGACAAAUUACUAUAAAGCUAUGAGAGUAGGGGACAAAAUUGUAGGCAUGUAGAAAUGUCAGAUAUAUAAUAACGGUAAGGAGGAGAGAGACAAAAAGAGAGAUCCUUUGCUGUUUUUAGAGCCUGCCAAGAGUGUGGCUGCAAUAUUUUGGGAAGAGGAAUCUUUUAGACUAAUGCCAUCUGGCUGGCUUUCAUCUGUGCCAGUUGUCAUACAGGCCAAGUGCCCUGUCCUGCUUCCAAAACAUUUAUUGAAGAAGAAAUUUGGUUAAGAAACACUGUUAAUUCCCUGUUACCUGACUGGAAAUAUAUCAGUUAAGUGACUUAGAAACCCAAGCAAGCAAUCCAGGCUUUGAUCAAAAGCUUCUUCAUCCAUGUUCUGAAGCAGUUUUAGGAUACUCUUCCCCUUUCAAGCCUCACUUGGAAGCAAGAAAGGCUGGCUGUACAAUCUGCUCCAAUUUGCUGUCCAGUGCGCAUGAUAAAUACACUGUUUAAAACAAAAUAGGUCAUUUGUCUCAUUCUUUUAAUUACCAACUACUUCUGAGAUACUGUGCACAUUGGUUUUGUUUCCUGUACCUUAUUUUUCCAGAAGGCAGCAAUCUAUCACACCAAGGUUUUUCAAAGCCUAUGUCUGUGUGACAGUACUGGCAACUCAGUUCAUCUAUCAAAUUAGUCAGUGAAGGCAUGUCUCAAUUCUACACUGGAGAUACCUGUAUGUUUUUAAUUUUGAUUGUGGCAAUUCCAUAUGCUGGAAAAAGGAUUUGAAAUUAUCAGACUUAGAUAUUGUAUUGGCUUUUCUUAAUGAAUUGGAUAUGAAUAUUUUGUGAUGCCAUCCAGGCCUUUGAUGAACUUUUUAAAUUUAAAGUUAACAGACAUCUUGUGUACCUAAAGAAUCACUACUACAAAAAUAAGGAGACUUGGAAAGCAAGAAUAAACAUCAGAUACUU